CAGGACGUCACCAUGGGAGAAGAAGGUGUGAUGUGUUGUGCUGCUGCUUGGGAGGGACGCCAUGGGCAUCCCUACUCUGCUUCUUCUCUUCCCCUAACUCCAUCAAGCUGCUGAGCAUUGAUACGUGUUGUUCGGUGUACCUCGACAUGAUUUCCAGGACAUGAAAUGCGAGCUAUCUAAGCUGCUCCUUUGUUCCUGGACAUGAUUUAUCCUUCGAUUUGAUCAACAUUAUCUUUUUAUGUCUCUUGUCCAUCAUGUGCAGCGGCAACACGAUUUGCAGAGUACAAGGGUGGGCUCAUCGAGGUGUGCGGUGGUAGGCUCGCUCGGCCCCAGCGUCUUCUGUUGAACGGACAUGCCGCCUCUUCGGCGUCGGCUAAAUGAGAGCCAUGGAAUCAAUGAUGCCGACCUCAUUGCUGGGCACUGUGCUUUUGGUGUAUGAUAUGGCUGGGAGAAAACACACAGUUUCCUGCUGGUUUAUUACAUAUCAGCCAGUACUGUACAGAGUAGUAUAUAAGGACGUCUUACUGUAGUAUGGCUGAGGCAGUGACCAGCUUGGUAGUUAGUACUAGCUGAGAAAAUUCAUGAUGCUGGCUGGGAGCAAAAAGUUUAUAGGCUUAGUUGAUGUAUUGGUUCUGUUGUUGUAUGGGGAUAUAUGCAUAGAUAUGUAACAUGUGGGUUCCAAGCAUGCUUCCGAGAAAAAGUAAAAUUAUAUAUACAAUUUAAA